rnacentral:rRNA from 1 species
UGGGGAAUAUUGGGCAAUGGGCGAAAGCCUGACCCAGCAACGCCGCGUGAGGGAAGAAGGGUUUCGGCUCGUAAACCUCUGUCCUAUGGGACGAAGGAAGUGACGGUACCAUAGGAGGAAGCCCCGGCUAACUACGUGCCAGCAGCCGCGGUAAUACGUAGGGGGCGAGCGUUGUCCGGAAUGAUUGGGCGUAAAGGGCGCGUAGGCGGCCUGCUAAGUCUGAAGUGAAAGUCCUGCUUUCAAGGUGGGAAGUGCUUUGGAUACUGGUGGGCUGGAGUGCAGAGGUAGGUGGAAUUCCCGGUGUAGCGGUGGAAUGCGUAGAUAUCGGGAGGAACACCAGUGGCGAAGGCGACCUACUGGGCACCAACUGACGCUGAGGCUCGAAAGCAUGGGUAGCAAACAGGAUUAGAUACCCUGGUAGUCCAUGCUGUAAACGAUGAUAGCUAGGUGUGGGAGGACUGACCCCUACCGUGCCGGAGUAAACACAAUAAGCUAUCCACCUGGGGAGUACGAUCGCAAGAUUGAAACUCAAAGGAAUUGACGGGGGCCCGCACAAGCAGUGGAGUAUGUGGUUUAAUUCGACGCAACGCGAAGAACCUUACCAGGCCUUGACAUCCCGAUGACCGGUCUAGAGAUAGACCUUCUCUUCGGAGCAUCGGUGACAGGUGGUGCAUGGUUGUCGUCAGCUCGUGUCGUGAGAUGUUGGGUUAAGUCCCGCAACGAGCGCAACCCUUACCUUUAGUUGCUACGCAAGAGCACUCUAAAGGGACUGCCGUUGACAAAACGGAGGAAGGUGGGGAUGACGUCAAAUCAUCAUGCCCCUUAUGACCUGGGCUACACACGUACUACAAUGGCAAUCAACAAAGAGAAGCAAGACAGUGAUGUGGAGCAAAUCUCAAAAAAUUGUCCCAGUUCAGAUUGUAGGCUGCAACUCGCCUACAUGAAGUCGGAAUUGCUAGUAAUCGCGGAUCAGAAUGCCGCGGUGAAUACGUUCCC